UAUUCUUAAAAUGAGAGGCUGUUCUUGGUCGUGGUUGAGAGGGCAGGCUCUGGAAUUAAAUUGUCAUGCUUCUCGUCCCCAUUCCUGCAUUUCUAGCCAGGUGAAAAUUGGUCAAGCUUUAAAUCUCUUUGUGCCUCAGUUUUCCAAACUGUAAAACAGGGAUCAUGUCCUGACAUGGUUGUUGUGAAGCUUAAGUGGAAGAACGCAUCCAGAGCGGUCUGUGCUUAAUAUAGAUUAAAAGAGGAAGUACAAUUCUGUGUUGAAGUGAUGCAAUGUCCCAUCUCUUAUACUGUUUUAGGCUCUAUUUGAUGGAAUUUAGUAGAAUUUGAGGCUCCAUGGCGUAAGAGGCAGAGAGAGGGGUAGGGAGGGGAGUUAGAGCAGAGGAUGCACGUGGAGGGGACAGAAGAAGGUGCAGAGCUGUGCUUGCCCUUCCUGGACACAAACCCCUGAACAGACACAGGAGCUUUACGGUGCUCGGCAGCUGGCCAAGUUGCAUCGUAUACAUUUCUUUCCUUCAAUCCUCACAACGACCCCUAAGUCACAGAAAUGAGAACUGUGCCCUGGAGACAUUCUAAGACUGGCUCCUAGACAAGUGGCCAGGGACGGGCACAGGGAGGUGAGAAAGCAGAACUCCUGGACUUGGAUGGUAACGUCCUUCCUUCCAGGCAUGGUCCUUCGGUAUACAAAUGAUUAUGUUUAUAAUGACCUUGGGGCUGAAUCCCAGAGGAACUGAGGGCCACAUGCUGCUGCAGACUUGAGGGGAGGGUUUUUGCGGGGGAGGGUCUGGGGAACCUCCUGUGAUCCUCAGAGCACUAAUGCGUAGCUGUUCGGGGCUGGCCUCAACACCGCUCUGCUGGAAGGUUGUAAGCAUCUCUUAGCUCUUUCUGGCCUCUCAGUGAAGAUUGUGCUUUAUUUCUCCACAGGGCCAUUUUGGGUCAGUGUUCUCGGGGAGAAUUUGUCAGUCUUUCCCCUUCGCUAGGAAGGAAGGGAAUGAGUAUCUAUUGAAUGGUUGAACAUGUAUCACUCAAGUUAGUUCUUGAAAAGUUCAGUUUUCUCCUUAUCCUGGUGGUUCUGGUUUGCCAUUAAAAUUCCAGUGAUUGGAGAAAAUGUAGUGCAGUGCUUCAGAAUUUUAGAAAAAUUGAGAACACAAAAUUGGAAGAAUUAUUUCAUGCCAGCUCAUGAGUAGUGAUUGAAUUGAUCAUAGCAUUACAUUGAAUACAUUAUUUUUAUGAAAUCAUUUUCUACUCUCAUAAGAAAUUUGUAUGUAAUUGGUAUAAAAUAUAUGCCAAAUAAAUUUGUUUUUAUGUAUUAACAUUUUGUUUACGCAUAAUGCAAUUCUUUUUCUAUAUGCACUUUAUUUUUCAGAGAAGAGGUGACUUUUUCUUUUUUCAUUUGAAGCAACAUCUAGACCAGUUUUUCUCAUCCUUGGUACAGCUGACAUUUGUGGCAAGACAAUGCUUUGUUGUGGGUAGGCUGUCUUGUACAUUCUAGGUUGAGUAGCAGCAUCCCUGAUGUCUGCUCAGUCUUCACCAGGAGUAUCUCCUGUGCUCAGUCUUGACAUCAGAAAUGUCUCCAGACAUGGCUGGAAUUUUCCAGGAGAGCAAAGUCAUUCUUGGUUGAAAACCAUUGAUCUAGGGUUUUCAGUAUCUACUCAAACCUUCUCCCUUAUUUAACUCUAUAUUAUUCUCUAAUUUUGAAUAGAUGUUCAGAAUCACAGCAAAAAGGAGAAAAUACUUAUUUAUGGAGGCAAUAAACUGCACUCAUCAAUUGUGAAAAAGUAAGAUUUUUUCUUCAAUAUUCAUCAUCUUUUUUUUUAAAUUAACUCACAGUUACCAUGACAAAUCCAACUUACCAGAAUUCCAAACAAUUUGGAUUAAUAUUCUAUUUCCUCAUUUUCUUUCAAAAUAGAAAUAUCCCUUUGAUGCUGAAUUAAUGUAUAACGAUGACGUGGUCAUUUUUUUCACUUCAAAUAAAUGGAAGUAAUAGUGUGGUUUGCUACAUAUUGAAUGCUCUCUCUGAUAAGAACAUCCUAUAUGUUCCUCAUGCACGUGCCAAAAGGCUUAAUUGCCUUUGCAGAUGGACGCGUGCCUUGGUGAAGCAGUUGUGUAAAAAGAUGCUGAAGUAAGUUUCAGAAAUCCCUUUAUGGGCUUUUUAGUGGGAUGUUAGCAUGAAAAGGCAGAUAGAUACACUUAGUUAUUAACUACCAUAGGGAUACAGACAUUUCCCUUGGCUCAGGAAUUACAUGACUGCUUUUGAAAUUGUGUUUUUAAAGGAUGGAACAUAUUUUUGUUCCUGUGAACCAUGGACUGGAGCUUUAGCCAAUCAUAGGAAGGAACAGACUGUAGGGCAAAAGGAAGUAUUUGUUCCGAUAUUAGAGUCCGUGGCCUCUCGCCAUCUUUGAUAAAGGAUUGAAGUGUUGUGUGCCCAGAGUCUGCUACCCUCCUGACCCUUCAUCAGUCAGCAGCCGGACUGGGAGCUUAAGUGAACUGUAGCUUAGUAGGAUAACUAUUGUUCAAGCAUGUGUAACUCUCGAAAACGGAAAUUACUGGCACAGCAGCCUUGCAAUGUGAUGUCUUUCUAGUUUUAAGAUUCUAGACAUAUGUUUCCUUUCUGUUGCUGAUCUUUGCCAAUUAAAGAUAUACAAUAAUAAUGUGUAAGAUAUACAAUAAUAAUUGAAGUUGGGCUAUGCAGAUGGGUGACACUGAGACUGUUGGGAGUUUCUUUUUAAAAAUAACGUGUAUAGACAUAAAUGACCUAGCACAUGGGAUUUCAAGAAUUUCACUUGGUGAUCCUAUUGGUAUUUUUAUUGUCUUAAAGCCACUAGGGUGCUUUGCACCUUUUGCAUGCUCCUCCUCCACUAAUAAUGUAUUAAUUACUGAAAGCAUAUUUUUGUCCAUGUGUUUUCUAAGUAACUGAUGGCACAUAUAAAUUCUUUCAUCACAUAUCUUAAUUUUUUUUUUCUGACUAGCUCAGGAAAACCUUUAAGAGCUGUGUCCAGUAUUCCCAGCUUUAUGUCAUCUAAUCUCUAUAUUUAUGCCACAUUCUUAAAACAAGUAGAGUAAUAUAUCAGUUGCAGCUGUUGCUGGCCAAAGCUGUCACAGAAGUGGGUGGAAGAAGAAUCAGAGAUGCUGUGUUCAGGUUCUGUGUUUCAAAAGCAUAUCUGUUGCAGUCAAUCUGGGGUGAUAACAACUGGCUUGUAGAAAGCAGAUAAAGCCAGAUAUUUGUCUUAUCUUUAACCAAAUGUACAGUAGCUUGGAUGCCAUAGUGAUAAAUAUUGCUGAUAGUUUUUUAUUAAACUACUUGAGAUUGUCUGGCUUUGACAAUAAGAAAUACUCAUUAAUGUGUAGCAUUCAUGACUUUUGGCUGCAGCCUUUCUGUGAAGUUAUUAAUAUAAAGCUUAACUUUUAAUAGCAUGCAAAGUUUAAAAAGAGGACAAAUGAAAAUACAUAAUAGCAAAAGAGUAAAAUGUUUGUUUUCUGAUAUAGGUGGGCAGUGAUGCUUUCUAAUUCAAUGUAUUUUUCUUCAACUAAAUAUUCACACGAAGGCACAUAUCCAGUUGCUUAUUAGAAGAAUACUAAAACCACACUAUCUAAAGCUGGUUAGGAAUACCAGACUUAGUAUACCCCUCUGUAAGAUUUCUCAUAACCUCACCUUUCCCCAUCUUCCAUUCUUCCCAUUUUCCAGUUUAGCAUGCGAGCAGAGAAGAGAACUAAAGGUCUCCAUCAAAAAAAUUUUAGCUAAGGGAUUUCCUGUUGUGGCUCAGUGGAAACGAGUCCAACUAGUAUCCAUGAGGAUGCAGGUUUGAUCCCUGGCCUCACUCAGUGGGUUGGGCAUCUGGCAUUGCUGUGAGCUGUGGUGUAGGUUGCAGAUGUGGCUCGGACCCUGAGUAGCUGUGGCUGUGAUGUAGGCCAGCAGCUGUAGCUCAGAUUUGACCUCUAGCCUGGGAACCUACAUAUGCCGCAAGUGCAGCCUUAAAAAGCAUAACAAAAAAACAACAACAAAAAAAACAUAGCCAAAACUAAAUAUAGAACUACCAUAUCAUCCAACAAUCCCACUCCUGGGCUAUGUCCAGACAAAACUUUCAUUCCAAAAGAUACAUGCACCCCUAUGUUUAUUGCAGCGCUGUUCAUAAUAGCCAAGACAUGGAAAUAAGUAAAUGCCCAUCGAGAGAUGAAUGGAUUAAGAAGAUGUGGUGCAAACACAGUGGAGUAUGACUCAGGCAUAAAAAGAACAAAAUAGUGCCAUUUGAAGCAGCAUGAAUGGAACUAGAGAUGCUCAUACUAAGUGAAGUAAGUCAGAAAGAGAAAGACAAAUACCAUAUGAUAUCACUUAUAUGUGGAAUCUAAAAUAUGGCACUGAAGAACCUCUCUACAGAACAGAAACAGACUCACAGACAUGGAGAGCAGACUUGUGAUUGCCAAGAGGGAGAGGGAGGGAGUGGGUUGGAGGGAGUUUGAGGUUAAUAGAUGCAAACUAUUACUUUUAGAAUGGAUAAGCAAUGAGGUCCUGUUGUGUAACACAGGGAACUAUAUCCAAUCACUUGUGAUAGAACAUGAUAGAAGAUAAUAUGAGAAAAAGAACGUAUGUAUAACUGGGUCACUUUGCUGUGCAGCAGAAAUUGACAAUAUUGUAAAUCAACUAUAAUAAAGAAUUUAAAUUUUUUUAAAAUUAUAGCCAGAUUUUUCUUUUUUUACACUCUUUAUAGAGACAUUUCAAGGAAAAGAGAAACUAUUUUUUAGCAGCUAGAAAGGGAUAAUUAGGCAUGUUGGGCUGCAUCUCCUUGUACCUUAACCCUGUUGGGGUAAAAUGAAAUUCUGAUUUGGUCAAGUCAGUUAAGGGAGAUACUUACCUUAAAGACAGAAAGAAAGGAGUUCCUGUCAUGGCUCAGCGGUAACGAACCUGACUAGGAUCCAUGAGGACUUGGGUUCGAUCCUUGCCCUCGCCUGGUGGGUUAAGAAUCUGGUGUUGCCAUGAACUGUGGUGUAGGUCUCAGACAUGGCUUAGAUCUUGCGUUGUGGUGGUUGUGGUCUAGGCCGGUAGCUGUAGCUCCGAUUUGACCCCAGCCUGGGAACUUACAUAUGUCAAAGCUGAGG
rnacentral:lncRNA from 1 species